rfam:Felis catus breed Abyssinian Contig34194.1, whole genome shotgun sequence. [26-MAY-2016]
GCCUGGGUGGCUCAGUCGGUUGAGCGUCUGACUUCAGCUCAGGUCAUGAUCUCGCGGUCCGUGAGUUCAAGCCCCACGUCAGGCU